GAGUUAUCUGAACCUUCGGGGGACGAUAACGGCGUCGAGCGGCGGACGGGUGAGUAAUGCCUAGGAAAUUGCCCUGAUGUGGGGGAUAACCAUUGGAAACGAUGGCUAAUACCGCAUGAUGCCUACGGGCCAAAGAGGGGGACCUUCGGGCCUCUCGCGUCAGGAUAUGCCUAGGUGGGAUUAGCUAGUUGGUGAGGUAAGGGCUCACCAAGGCGACGAUCCCUAGCUGGUCUGAGAGGAUGAUCAGCCACACUGGAACUGAGACACGGUCCAGACUCCUACGGGAGGCAGCAGUGGGGAAUAUUGCACAAUGGGCGCAAGCCUGAUGCAGCCAUGCCGCGUGUGUGAAGAAGGCCUUCGGGUUGUAAAGCACUUUCAGUCGUGAGGAAGGUAGUGUAGUUAAUAGCUGCAUUAUUUGACGUUAGCGACAGAAGAAGCACCGGCUAACUCCGUGCCAGCAGCCGCGGUAAUACGGAGGGUGCGAGCGUUAAUCGGAAUUACUGGGCGUAAAGCGCAUGCAGGUGGUUUGUUAAGUCAGAUGUGAAAGCCCGGGGCUCAACCUCGGAAUUGCAUUUGAAACUGGCAGACUAGAGUACUGUAGAGGGGGGUAGAAUUUCAGGUGUAGCGGUGAAAUGCGUAGAGAUCUGAAGGAAUACCGGUGGCGAAGGCGGCCCCCUGGACAGAUACUGACACUCAGAUGCGAAAGCGUGGGGAGCAAACAGGAUUAGAUACCCUGGUAGUCCACGCCGUAAACGAUGUCUACUUGGAGGUUGUGGCCUUGAGCCGUGGCUUUCGGAGCUAACGCGUUAAGUAGACCGCCUGGGGAGUACGGUCGCAAGAUUAAAACUCAAAUGAAUUGACGGGGGCCCGCACAAGCGGUGGAGCAUGUGGUUUAAUUCGAUGCAACGCGAAGAACCUUACCUACUCUUGACAUCCAGAGAACUUUCCAGAGAUGGAUUGGUGCCUUCGGGAACUCUGAGACAGGUGCUGCAUGGCUGUCGUCAGCUCGUGUUGUGAAAUGUUGGGUUAAGUCCCGCAACGAGCGCAACCCUUAUCCUUGUUUGCCAGCGAGUAAUGUCGGGAACUCCAGGGAGACUGCCGGUGAUAAACCGGAGGAAGGUGGGGACGACGUCAAGUCAUCAUGGCCCUUACGAGUAGGGCUACACACGUGCUACAAUGGCGCAUACAGAGGGCAGCCAACUUGCGAAAGUGAGCGAAUCCCAAAAAGUGCGUCGUAGUCCGGAUUGGAGUCUGCAACUCGACUCCAUGAAGUCGGAAUCGCUAGUAAUC
rnacentral:rRNA from 1 species